CGCCUCUUGCAACACUAGUAUAAGAGGUCCUGCCUGCCCAGUGAACAAUUUAACGGCCGCGGUAUAAUGACCGUGCAAAGGUAGCGUAAUCACUUGUCUUUUAAAUAAAGACCCGUAUGAAUGGCAAGACGAAAGUUCAACUGUCUCUUUGAUUUAAUCAAUGAAAUUAAUCUUCCCGUGCAGAAGCGGAAAUAGACUUAUAAGACGAGAAGACCCUAUGGAGCUUUAAAUAUACAUUAACUACACCAUAUAAUUUUAACCUUAGGAAAAAACAUUAAAAUGUUUAGUAGUAAUUAAAAUUUUGGGUUGGGGCGACCGCGGAAGACAAAAAAUCAUCCGAGAUGAAUAAUUUAGAAAAACACUUCAAAAUCUAAAACAUUUACCAUAAAUGAUCCACUAAGUGACCAACGAACCAAGUUACCCUAGGGAUAACAGCGCAAUCCUUUCUAAGAGUCCAUAUCGACGAAUGGGUUUACGACCUCGAUGUUGGAUCAGGACACCCAAAUGGUGCAGCCGCUAUUAAAGGUUCGUUUGUUCAACGAUUAAAGUCCU
rnacentral:rRNA from 1 species